rnacentral:tRNA from 1 species
GCUCAGUUAGUUCAGUGGUUAGAAUGCUCGAUAAUUUUUUUUUAUUUUAGAAACGCAGGUUCAAUUCCUGCACUGCUGAGCC